UAAAAUAAGGGCGGGACGCUUCAUGAACCAGGUAAGUGAGAGAGAGUGUUUUAUAAACCAGUUGCGAUUACAUAUUAAGAAACUACUAUAAAACAAGGAAUUUAAUUAUGAGAUUUCAAAUCCCAUUAAAAAUUCAUUUCCAUUUUAAAAAUAUAUUCCUCUUAGUUCCAUUUUGAAUUCCAAGUCUCAUCAAAUCCCACCGCCAUUCCAAACAGAGUGUAACGUGAAUCACGAAUCUUAUUCUUAUAUCAUCUCUUUAUAAAACGGUGCAUAUUUUUCGUCUGUCACUUCCCCCCUCUCAAACCCUAACCCUAACAACCGCUGCUGCCUCCAACUUUGAAGGCAUUGGAGUCUCUCGAUCGCACCCAAGAAGAGAAUGCCUAUAAUAUCUUCUUUAGUUUUAAAAAAAUUGAUCAGUCACCUAAAGGUGAAGUGUUCAGUAAAAUCUGAAGCACAGUUUUUUUUGGCCCUCCCACUUCCCAGAAGAAUUGCUGGACUUGAUCUUGGAACAUCUCACGGACUUGUCUGAUCUCAUUCGAUCGCGGUGUCUGCCAUUCAUGGGGAUCUGCUGCAGCUCGGAAGCUUUGUGGUGUGGAUUUUAAGGUAAAACAUGUUACUAUUGGGGGGUAAAAGUUGAAGCUUGCAAUUUGGGAUGCAGUUUAUGAUGUAACACGACGAGAAACAUUUACGAAUCUAUCUGAUGUAUGGGCUAAAGAAAUUGACUUGUACUCAACAAAUCAGGAUCGCAUCAGGAUGCUUGUUGGCAACAAAGUUGAUAAGGAGAGUGAAAGGGUUGUCACCAAAAGAGAGGGUGUUGACUUUGCUAGGGAAUGUGGAUGCCUUUUCAUCGAAUGUAGUGCAAAAACUCGGGCCAAUGUGGAGCAAUGCUUUGAGGAACUUGUUCUGAAGAUUUUAGAAACUCCAAGUCUUUUGGCUGAGGGCUCAACUGGUCAAAAGGAACAUCUUUAAACAAAAACCUCCAGAGGCUGAUGCAUCAGCUAGCGGGUGUUGCUGAAGGUGACGGAGACUAUCCCUUACUUGUCAGCAACUCUCGCUUGUCCAUGCAGCGUUCUGAUAUGCCUUGGCCAAUGAUAAAAUCAAUUUAAAAUAUGCAAUCAAGAUUCAAGUUUGGGAAUCUGGAUGAAUUGGCACAAACAGUAGGGCCAUUGUUUUUCACGAAAUGCAUAAAGGACUAUACCCAAAGAAAAGAAUCAAUAGUAGUUGAAACAUCUCUCUCUUACAAGUAAAAGAGGAAUAUUGGGGUGUGUGUGUGUGUUGGGGUUUGUGUUGGGGAAGUACUUCUGGACCGGGACAAUGCAAAGCUUUUCUGGUUUGACUUGAGAACGAAAACAGUCAAGAAUGUUAGGAUUCCUUGUUUGCCGACUUUCUAUGGAGAUCUAAUUUGUGUGGGAAGUCUAGUUCCACUCCACAGUAAUGGUGGAUGAGAUGGAAAAACCAGCAAGCACAAGAGAAGGUGAGAGCAAGAAGAAUAGAAAGGAGAGUGUUCCUAUUGAGAUUGCCGCUGGUUUUGGGAAUUCAAGUAUCUUUACCCUACUGCCAGGGCAUUGAGAAGUUUUAUUCAGAACGACUCAAGGAAAACAAAGAAGAACAGAAGUAAGUAUGAGGAGUGAUCUAUAUUUUUUUGAAGUGAGCAGAAACUUUUAUUCCAUUUGAUCAAUGGUUUCAGACUAUGUCCACUCACUACUAUUGGUAUUACUAGGCUUAUCUGAAUGUGUUUGAUUAAACAUCAAUAAUUUAUAAUUGUAUUUUGAUUUGAUAUCUUUUUUUUAUUAAGGUUAAAUUUGAAAGAAAUAUCUAAUAAUAAUUAAAAUAUAUAGAGAAUGCAGAAAAGGAUAUAUAUGUAUUGUGUCUUCAGUACAUUAUUUUUUAAGGCGAAUUGAAAAAAAAAAAAAACCCUUGCCUAUUACUCACUUGCAAGAAAUUUUCCUUGUGAGAUAGCAAGGAAAACCCCCCUCCCCUAUAUUGAGGGGGCAUUUUAACUGACGGAUCAGCCACCACAAUCCACCUCCGUCCAACACAAAAUCCAAAAAAAUCAAACAUCAUCAUCACAUUAUCCAGACAAUUGUCCCUACCAAAACGAAAUUGCAAAUAAACAGGAACAACAUAUAUCUGCGUAAAAGCAUCGAUAUGAAGCAAAAAAAAAAAAAACCAAAAUUUAGAAACGAAAAAAGAAAACCCAAUACAAGAAUUGAAGAUCAGGAAAAGGGAUCUUAGAGUCGAAGAAAAUGAAGAGGAAGGUUCAAUGGAACGGAGCUGUUGGUGUUGCUUUUGUUCAAUAUUAAUUAAUUAAUCAAAUCUGUUUUUCUCAGCAAUUAUCUCUAUCGGCUUGAGGUAAGCACUUUGCCAAAGUUAGAGAGAGAGUGUCUUGCUUCUAAAUCGGACUUUAGAGAGCGAGAGAGAGAGAGAGAGAGGGGCGUCAAAUUUUGUGUUGUAAACUGUUAACGGUCGUUAGACACUUAUAUCCUGGAUUGGAUUGGUGAAUUUCCCUUUUAGAAAUAUGACUUCUCUCGAACCCUAACCCUAAUUUGAAAAGGAAACCUAACCCUAUAUAUAUAUAUAAUAACCCACCACUCCUCCGAUAUAUCUUCAUUCCACGGCCUCUUCCUCAAACCCGACCACCAAAAUCCCAAAGCCCAAGAAGGCUAACGGCGAUCGGUUAUUCAUCUAACGUAAUUGCUAGGUAUCCAACGGCUAAAGAAGCGUACUUUGGAUUGCUCAGAGACCAAAUGGCUUGUUCGGUAACCCAACCACCGUUUUGUUGGCCCUCCGACCUCCCGGAAGAAUUGCUGGAUUUGAUCUUGGACCAUCUCCGGGACUUGUCCGAUCUCAACCGAUGUCGCGGCGUCUGCCGUUGGUGGCGAUCUGCUGCAGCUCGGAUGAUUUGUGGUAAUAAUAAUCAUGCUCUCCCUCCAUUCCUACUCAUAUUUGCUUUUCAAACUCUCAUCUUAUCAAGAGAUUGGGAUAGAGAUUGGAAUAGAGUUUUUUGCUUACCUAAAAGAAAAUCCAAGAGAUUUGAGGUUGAUAUCCCAAAAAUCCUUCGCUUUGUUUUGGUUCAACCCCAUGCAUCUCGUCUUACCGUGGUUGGCUACUAGUGCUUAUACUCCGAACCCGUAUUGAUACUAUAUAUAAGGGACACCUGAUAUUAUCAGGUACUGAUAUAACAACCGGUACUCAAAUUACAGUCUCCCAAUUUUCUUAUCCGGAACCAGAUCUUGUUGAAACAACACCACUGUAUCUUUUCAAUCCGCAUUCAAGAAUGCUAGUCAAGCUUCGGGAACCUCCACGGCGACUGUGUAUGAAUGGACAGCUUAGAUUCGUCACUUCAUGCACUGCUGCGGAUCCCAAUUGUAUCAUUUUUGCCUACAAUCUUUGCUCAAACUCGGUGGCUUUUUACGUACUACGACACAAAAAGUGGUCGCCUCUCUUUACUUUUAAUAAUUCAAACAACACAAGAAGACCGGUUGAAGCCAUUUUCUACCAGGGUCACUUCUAUGCAGCUGAUAAUCAUGGUGUGGUUCGACGGCUAUUGUUCGACAUUGAAGAUAAUUCUUACGAGGAGGAAGUGGUGUCGGUUGAUAUUGGUGGUACGACACCACAUAGAUACCUGGUUGAGUCCCCGUCUUCUUCGUCUCUGAUGAUGGUUGUGAGGAGGUUUCACCUUCAAACAGGGGAAAUGAAAACCAAGUCGUUCGAGAUUUUCAAGUUGGAUUGGAGGAAUGGUAAAUGGGAAGAGGUGAAUAGCUUGGGUGAUCAAGCCCUCUUCUUGUCCCAUCACGACUCUAAACUUGUCUCCCACUAUCCUGGAUAUAGCCUUAACUCCUUCUAUUUCAGGAAGAACACUAUCUUUUUCGUUGAUGAUCUCUUUGCACAUUGGAACUCAGGUAGCUGUGAUUUUGGGUUGUAUGACUUGGGAGAUCGGAUGGUUCGUCCACUAAAUAUAUAUAGCCUGUACACGGAUAGUCCAUAUUGUGGAUGGUUUCAACCGGCACCAUAGAUCCUGAUAUGCUUCAAGAAUUAAAGCUUGGCAAGUGACGAGGAGGAAGUUAUAAAUCUUGAUGAAAGAGACACUAAGAACGGAAAGGAGUGGAUGUAUGAAAAAGUUUUUUUAUUUUUAGAAUUGUAUCAGAGUCUGUCGAGCUCUUAAAGCACCCAUAAUAUAUUUUUGGUGAAUAUAUAAGCUUUUUAUAUUCUGUAUUUGCA